AUUGAACGCUGGCGGCAGGCCUAACACAUGCAAGUAGAGCGGAGCGGCGGGCGAGUGAGUAAUGCCUACGAAUCUGACUGGUCGUGGGGGGUGACGUCAGGAUACGGGCGCUAAUACAGCAUACUAUCAGAUGAGCCUAGGUCGGGUUGACUAGUGGGUGGGGUAAAGGCCUACAAAGGCGACGACCCAUAACUGGGCUGAGAGGCUGAUCAGUCACACUGGAACUGGGACACGGUCCAGACGCCUACGGGAGGCAGAAGUGGGGAAUAUUGGACAAGGGGCGAAAGCCGGACCCAGCCAUGCGGGGUGUGUGAAGAAGGUCUUCGGAUUGUAAAGCACUUUAAGUUGGGAGGCGGUACCAACAGAAUAAGCAACGGCUAACUUCGUGCCAGCAGCCGCGGUAAUAC
rnacentral:rRNA from 1 species